GAUUAACGCUAGCGGCAGGCCUAAUACAUGCAAGUCGAGGGGCAGCAGGGUGUAGCAAUACAUCGCUGGCGACCGGCGCACGGGUGCGUAACACGUAUGCAACCUACCUUUAACUGGGGAAUAGCCCUCCGAAAGGAGGAUUAACACCGCAUAACAUCACGAGACGGCAUCGCCUUGUGAUCAAACCUCCGGGGGUUAAAGAUGGGCAUGCGUCCGAUUAGCUAGUUGGCGGGGUAACGGCCCACCAAGGCGACGAUCGGUAGGGGGUCUGAGAGGAUGAUCCCCCACACUGGUACUGAGACACGGACCAGACUCCUACGGGAGGCAGCAGUAAGGAAUAUUGGACAAUGGUCGCAAGACUGAUCCAGCCAUGCCGCGUGCAGGAUGAACGAUCUAUGAUCUGUAAACUGCUUUUGUUCGGGAAUAAACCCCUUCACGUGUGGAGGGCUGAAUGUACCGAAAGAAUAAGGGUCGGCUAACUUCGUG
rnacentral:rRNA from 2 species